rnacentral:sRNA from 1 species
UCUCCCUUUAUAGUACGUUCAAGAGCAUCGUCAUCUUCAAACCACUCUCGAAGCCGGUCAUC